UACGACAACAAACGGCUGCAGUUUAUGUACCAUAUGAACGAAUCUAGAUGUUCAGCAUUGGAUGGCUCAUCAUCUCACUUCCAGACUGCCAAGCACGACACUGCAAGCUUGGGAGCUCCAUCUCGGUAGCUCUGCCGAACUUGCCACCUUUUCUCAGCUACAAUCACUUCUCAACGACCGACUCGUCAGCAUCGAUGUGUUCGAAAACCGAGGCCACUCCACGACGCGGACACCUGUGCCGCAGCCUGUCAAUCAAAGGCACCCGAAGAAGUCAGUUGGCAACGUAACA